UAGCUUAGGUUUUAACCACUGGCUGGUUUCUAGAGACUCCUGGGGUAGCUUUCGAGUGGUCUUGAUUGUAACAAGCUGAUUCGGGAUCAUUUUCAUUGGUGUUGUUCUGUUUCUAUCCAUUGUUUGUCAUAAUUGGUGCUGGUGUUGGUAUUGAAAUCUUCCUGGAUUUUCGAUCCUAUUUUUGGAGCAUUUCGAGUCCAUUUGAGUGCAUUUCAAAUGAUUUGUAGUUGAUUGCUUGGGUCUGCCUGGUUUGAAACUUUUCUGGGCUGUUGAACUAACUUUCUUGGCUGCCGUUUGAGUUUUGCUUGUUACUGCUACUGAUUUUAGCUUCUCCUUCUUAUUUGUGAUUUCCAAGUACCAUACUGAGCCCAAAUUGAUGAAGUUUCACCUGUGGAAGUAUGAAAUAAAAUUGUUGCAAAGUUUCCUGUUGAGCUUCUG
rnacentral:lncRNA from 1 species